CAACGCGUUCUCUUGUGUCCCCAUAUUUGUCCCGCUCUGGCUUUCCUUGAUCACCCUGAUGGCAACCACAUUCGGGCAGAAAGGCGGAAACCACUGGUGGUUCGGGAUUCGCAAGGAUUUCUGUCAGUUUCUGCUUGAAAUCUGCCCAUUUUUGAGAGAAUAUGGAAACAUUUCCUACGACCUCCACCAUGAAGGUAAUGAGGAAACCGAAGAAACGCCAGUUCCAGAACCUCCUAAGAUCGCUCCUAUGUUUCGAAAGAAGACCAGGGUGGUUAUCACCCAGAGCCCUGGAAAAAAGCCAUAAAGCACGACUGGAAACUGGAACACUGGAGAAGGGUGCCGAGACUAGAAAUGGCCAGCAGAGUGUGCGCGUUGAGGUCCGGGGCUUUUUGUCUGCCCCCAAGCUGGGCCCAUGCUUUUAGCUAGGAGGACCACGGCUCCAGGAGCUGAGGGUACAGCCGCGAGUCAGAGGGAAGAAAGCAGAUGCGAUGGGAACAAGCAGGCCGUGAGUAAAAGAAGGUAAAAGGAGCCCUGGCAUUGUCACCUGGGAGCAGGGUAGAGGGGGAGAGGGGGCAGCUGCUACCUUGUCUAAACCGGGCUCCGCUGACAUCCACCGCGCCCACCACUCCGCCCUGGCGCCAGCCUGUAGGAAGCCUGUGCUGUCUGAAGGGGGACACUUGGAAUGGUGCCACCUUUCCGGCUUGGUGUAUAGCAAAUGUAGCCCAAUCCACUCUUCUUUCCGCCUUUAGCUGUUCAAUAAACCGGUUCAUCAUUUUCCAUGUGCACUGUGCGGGUCUUAGUUUGGAUGUGGUCCAGGAUGCUGGAAGUCCUGUCAACGAGCACAAAAGGGAACCUCGAGCUGCCACCAGCAGCCGAGGGGAGCAGGGGUGGGUGAGCAUCUCUCAGGAGUCUCCAGGGGCAGCCGGAAUAUGCAGUACAGAGAGGAAAGCUGGGGGCCCAGGGAUUCGGCUGUUGGUGGGGGAGCACACGGCCACAAUGCUGACGGGUGAGGAGGCGCCCGAGAGUGUUUGCGAGUUCCCAGACAUUCUAAGGUGGAACUCGGCUUUUCAGUGGUCCUGAGGCAUUGCCCAGUCACGUGGGCACUGAGUACCACUUACAUCUAUGCAAAAUGCAUGGUGACUUCUGCGUAGCUCACCCUAGCUGUCUCUAGAGACAGUUAACUCAGGUGGCGUUUCAGCUCACGGUUUGCAAGAAUCGACAAGGAAGGCCACCUUUUGCUGGUGAUGGAAGGCUUCCUGCAGGGUACCCAAGGGCCACCGAUGGACCAUUGCUUAAGCUCCUUAGAUUCAAACUUGCGGUGAGACAGCAUGCUUCUCCGUAACCACGGUAACUGUGAGUUAAGUGGCAGGUACCUUGCCUCCAGCUGUACGUCCCCCUGAGUCCUCAGGACCCCAUGAAGCACGUGCUCCUACGAGUAUCCUUGUGGGGAAGCAAGAGGCUCCGAGGGUGUGAGCCAGGCAGCUGGGGAUCAGCAGGUCUGUGGUGCCGGCCUUGGCAUCUUCUGGCCGAGCCCUCGCUCUCACCCACUGGGCCGGGCGCCUGGGCCGUGGGCAGGUGACGUAUUGGGUUUGGAGGCGUUUCUGAUUCGUGGAAAUCUCAGGAAGAUCCUCGAGCCCGUGACCAGAGUAGGGUGGGGGGCAUCAGUGGAGGUGGUUGCGCACAUGGGGAGAACGUGCCAGAUGGGCGGUUGUGCAUGGCCGCCUGUCUGGUGCUCGAGCAGCAGGCCCCAGAGCAGGAUGGCAGCCCUCAGGGCCUGGGCGCAAACCCAGACGGGGGUCCCGUGGACGGCGGUCGGCGGAAAGUGAGCCGCACCGUGGGUGAAGGCCCAGGGCGACCGCCCCGUCCCGGGUGAUGGGAGACUAGGAGUGCAGAGAGAGACCAGCCUGGGGUGGACACGUGCAGGCUGAGGAGCCACAGGGGAGGGUAGCCUGUCCU